UUUGUACGCGAAGAACCUUACCUGGUCUUGACAUCCCCAGAAAUUUCUAGAGAUGGAGUAGUGCCUUCGGGAACUCUGAGACAGGUGCCGCAAGGGCGUCGUCAACUCGGGUUGUGAAAUGUUUGGUUAAGUCCCCCAACGAGCGCAACCCCUUUCCUUUUUUUCCAGCCGGGCCGGCCGGGAACUCUAAGGAGACUGCCGGUGAUAAACCGGAGGAAGGUGGGGAGGACGUCAAGUCAUCAUGGCCCUUACGACCAGGGCUACACACGUGCUACAAUGGCGGAUACAAAGGGUUGCAACCCCGCGAGGGGGAGCUAAUCUCACAAAGCUCGUCGUAGUCCGGAUUGGAGUCUGCAACUCGACUCCAUGAAGUCGGAAUCGCUAGUAAUCGUGACAGAGUAAAUAUUCG
rnacentral:rRNA from 1 species